ACGCUGCAGACAAAAGGAGCCGCGCGCCCUCCCGAGCGCGGCAGCCCUCGCCGGGCAGGCGAAGGAGCGCGCCGCGAACGGCCGCCUCCUUCGCGGACUCAGUUUCCCCAGCUCGCUUCCUCAGCUGGAAAACCGGGAGGGUAGCCGCCCCGCCGCCCCCGGGCGCAGCAGGUGCCGGGAACUCCCUAGCAGCCCGAAAACGCCCCCCACCCCCCUCCCAUGAAGAAUUCAGUGAAUUGGUUUUCUCCUGGAGACAGACCCUUGGCGCCUCGGGCCUGCCUUGAGUGUCCUGGCUGUGACAGUGCCCUGGCUGCUGUCCUGUCUCCUCCUGCCCUCGGGUGCUCCUGUCAGACUCAUCUCCCUCAAACUCUUCUCUGGAGAGAAAACCUCUGGGCUCUCGGGACCUGCAGACACGGCCCCGCCCUGGCCGGCUGUUUUCUUCUGCCACCUGCCACUGUGGUCUCCAGGCGCCUCAUCUCCUCCAGGGCUGAGAUCUGGACUGGGGCUUCAGUCUCAGCGGUAGCUCUCCUGAGAGCCAGCCGGGGAGGAGUGGCUUCCUUCCUGCCUCCGUGAGCCCAGGGAGUCCCAUUGGAAGACAUCGGCUGUACUAACUGCAUCUGCUACAUUCACAGUAGAGUCAGAGGCUUGCCCGGUUCAUUCCUUACUGCCGAGAAAUAAAACCUUGCCAAAUAACA